GAAACUGNNCANAGGUAAACGGGUGGGUCCACGAAAUCCUGNGNCGGGAAGAUUCAGUCUGGAGUUGCCGUCUCGAUGGUCGGAAAUCCAAGUAGGGCUUCCCGCGAACGGGGCCGUCCGAUCGCGAGCUUCGGUCAGGCCAGACGCAUUUGUCUCCCGCUCGAAGGACGCCGNAGCCGGUCGGGCAGUGCAAACGUGACGGUCUGGAAGGCGGACGACGGCAGGUGACCGGAGGCGCGCCCAGUGCGCUCCGUCGGUUGUUAGCCGGUCCGUCGGUGACCCGUCGCUCGACCGAGGUAUCGAUAUGCAUCUCCUCCUCCACGGAAAUCGGGACUUUCUGUCGCGAGCGAAGGCAGUCGCGCGGUCGCACUCCGACGGAGUGGACCAGCGUCGAAUCUGCGCUGUCUGCGAUGGAGGACCCGUUGGAGAUCGGAGGUUGGCGGCGAGUAGGUCGGUCACCCACCCGACCCGUCUUGAAACACGGACCAAGGAGUCUAACAUGUGCGCGAGUCAGUGGGUCUCGAAUAAGCCCAGAGGCGCAACGAAAGCGAAGGUAGGCGCCACGCCGACCGAGUCGGGAUCCCGCUCCCUCCAUUGGGGCGGGCGCACCGACGACCCGUCCUUUGCGGCUUGCCGCUUGGGCGGAGUGUGAGCGUACACGUUGGGACCCGAAAGAUGGUGAACUAUGCCCGGGCAGGACGAGGCCAGAGGAAACUCUGGUGGAGGUCCGAAGCGGUUCUGACGUGCAAAUC
rnacentral:rRNA from 1 species